GAAGGGCUUCCGCCUGGCCACCUAUGCGAUGUGGUGGAUCAAGGCGUCGAUCCAGGAAUACAUCCUGCGUUCGUGGUCGCUCGUGAAAAUGGGCACCACCGCGAACCAGAAGAAGCUGUUCUUCAAUCUCCGCAAGGCGAAGAGCAAGAUCUCCGCGCUUGAAGAGGGCGAUAUGCGCCCCGAACAGGUGAAGCAGAUCGCGACGCGCCUCGGCGUGACGGAACAGGACGUGAU
rnacentral:misc_RNA from 1 species